rnacentral:tRNA from 1 species
ACCGCGAUAGCUCAGCCGGUAGAGCAUCUGCCUGAUAUGCGGACGGUCGCCGGUUCGAUUCCGGCUCGCGGCG